rnacentral:rRNA from 1 species
UACGGAGGGUGCAAGCGUUAAUCGGAAUUACUGGGCGUAAAGCGCACGCAGGCGGUCUGUCAAGUCGGAGGUGAAAUCCCCGGGCUCAACCUGGGAACUGCAUACGAUACUGGCAAACUAGAGUCUCGUAGAGGGGGGUAGAAUUCCAGGUGUAGCGGUGAAAUGCAUAGAGAUCUGGAGGAAUACCGGUGGCGAAGGCGGCCCCCUGGACGAAGACUGACGCUCAGGUGCGAAAGCGUGGGGAGCAAACAGG